rnacentral:rRNA from 1 species
GAUGAACGCUGGCGGCGUGCCUAAUACAUGCAAGUAGAACGCUGAAGGGGGAGCUUGCUCUUCUUGAUGAGUUGCGAACGGGUGAGUAACGCGUAGGUAACCUGCCUGGUAGCGGGUGAUAACUAUUGGAAACGAUAGCUAAUACCGCAUGACAACAGUUGUUGCAUGAUAACUGUUUAAAAGGGGCAACUGCUCCACUACUAGAUGGACCUGCGUUGUAUUAGGUAGUUGGUGAUGUAACGGCUCACCAACGCGACGAUACAUAGCCGACCUGAGAGGGUGGUCGGGCAACAUGGGAAUGAGGAACGGCUCAGGAUCCUUACGGGGGGCGGAGGAGGGGAACUUCGGCAAUGGACGGAAGUCUGACCGAGGAACGCCGGGGGAGUGAAGAAGGGUCUCGGAUCGUAAAGACCUGUUGUAAGGGAAGAAAGAGAGUGAGAGUGGAAAGUUCACAAUGUGACGGUAUCUUACCAGAAAGGGACGGCUAACUACGUG